rnacentral:rRNA from 1 species
GACGAACGCUGGCGGCGUGCUUAACACAUGCAAGUCGAACGGUGAAGCGCCUUCCUUUUUGGUGGGUGUGGAUGAGUGGCGAACGGGUGAGUAACACGUGAGUAACCUGCCCCCUUCUUCUGGAUAACCGCAUGAAAGUGUGGCUAAUACGGGAUAUUCUGGGUCUGUCGCAUGAUGGGUCUGGGAAAGAUAUUGUUUCGGUGGGGGAUGGGCUCGCGGCCUAUCAGCUUGUUGGUGGGGUGAUGGCCUACCAAGGCGGUGACGGGUAGCCGGCCUGAGAGGGUGGACGGUCACACUGGGACGGAGACACGGCCCAGACUCCUACGGGAGGCAGCAGUAGGGAAUAUUGCACAAUGGGCGCAAGCCUGAUGCAGCGACGCCGCGUGAGGGAUGGAGGCCUUCGGGUUGUGAACCUCUUUCGCCAGUGAAGCAGGCCUGCCUCGUUUGUGGGUGGGUUGACGGUAGCUGGAGAAGAAGCGCCGGCUAACUACGUG